rnacentral:lncRNA from 10 species
UAUAGGUGUGAGCCACCGCGCCCAGCCGAGAUUAUAAAACAUAUAGUCAUGAGCUGUUAAUAUAUCCACAGGAUAUAAUAGUUCAAAGUUACUUUCUGGGUUUUUACUAAAACUUAAGGUUACUAAAAAUUAAAACUUCAAAUUAAUAUAUGUAAUAGAUGUAUAUUCUGUAUGCAAAAUAUACACAAAAUAAUUUUUGUAUGGGAAAGAAUGUUGUGUGGUCUCAGCGACAAAGGGAAUAAAGAUAAUUUUUGUCCUAAGGUAAAAUAACUGAAUGUUUCAAUAUAUAAAAAGGGGGAAACAUAGGACCAAGACUGGGGGCUUAGGAGAAUGCUGAAAGGGUUGAGCAGCUCAUGCAGAGUUUGUGAAGAAUGGGCCUGGCACAGGGAGCUGGAGUUUCAUGUGUGACCAGGCUGGCUGGGAUCAGAAGGGAAUCGUUUACAAGGUUUUCUGAGAAUUGAGCACUGAUGUCAGGGCACACUGAUAAAGGCCUGGAGUCUGUCCUGUAUGUUUGGAGCAGGGUUUUCUUAAGAUGUUGAUUUGCUCUUAUGAAAAAACAAAACAAAGCAUCGUAAAGGGUUUUGAUUUCAAUUUUGAAAUUGGUUUCUUUAAAUUUCCAGCCAUCUUCUGAACUACAGCUUUUUCCUGUUUUACAGUUUCUAUCUAAUUUCAAGUUGGAAGUGCUGUCUUCUUCAUUUAAAAUGAUGAUUUUAUUUCUCAGUGUAGAGUCUUCCUCUUAAAGUGUUUCUGAUUCAGGAUCUCAAGGGUCUGGCUUCUUACCCAUGUCACUACAUGCAAUCUGUGGGUCAUGCAUCAUUGCCUUCCACUCCUCUUCCUUCUCUCCUUAAAAAGGCACAUCUUUUUGCUUAACUAAAGCGGUGACUUUCUCCCUCAAAUUUUUCUUCUUUUGCUAUAGCUUUUACCACUCCAGAUCUGACUGCUGUUGCGGUUUGAUGCUGAGAGUGCUUCGCUAAGGCCUAAGAGAACAAUGUUUUCUUUUAUAGAACUUGAUUCUGUACUCUUAGAUUUUCUCGUGGUGCCUAAAUUGCUGUAUGUAACCGGGCAGUCUCACAUUCUUUUAGUUUUUCUGGAAGCCAUGCAUUCCCCUGCUCAGGUAUUGGUUCUCUUGAUUAUAUGAUUCUUCUAUAAUAUUGGUGUACACGAACAACCUUAGAUGCCUACUAUUCCAUUACCUGAUUGAAUUCAAGUACUUUUUUCAUCAGGUUUGACUUCCAGGUUAUCCAAACAGGCUUCCAAUAAAAAGAAGCAGUCAUAUUGUAGGAGAUGUGUUUUGUUUUGUUUCUACCUUUUAGAUAAACAGCCUAAGAAACAGAGAUAGUGUGUUGUAAGGCAGUUUCGUGUGCUUUGUGCCAUCUUUAUUAGGUUUUUGAUUACUUGGGAAAAUGAAGUCAUCUCUAAUUCAGGUCUAAGAUUUUUUCCUCUCAACUAUGUAACUUUUUGCAUUUGCUUUUGACAUCUUUUAAAUAUCAUUCUGGGUAAAUAAGUGACUAUUAUUUCUCAAUGACAAGUGAUUCUAUUUUAAUUAAAUAUUUUAAGCCUUUUAACAUCUUUGACAAAUUUCUCAAAAUCAGAUUAUAAUUAAAGUCUUUUUAACCUAAAAUUGACUUUGGGAUUUUUCAGUUGGUUUCCUUAAAAGCCUCAAAGGAUGUAUUUCUCGUUAGGCUUAUUUGAUAUUUUAGAUUAUGUAAAAAGCACUGCCAAAUAAUAAAGUGAUACUAGAUCUUUUAAAACUUAUAUUUAAGUGGAUAUGUUAUUGAUGUGAAUAUUUAAACAUUAUAUGACAUUUAUAAAAGUCUAAUAGUUCUGAUGUGAUGCUGUCAAUUAUGAUUCUGGUUGUUAUCUUAAAAUGCAAUAGAAAUAACUGAAUUUCCUUGUCGAUUGCUGAACUUUAUCCAAUUUUAAUUAUUAUCAUUGUAAGUUAUUGUCAUCUACAGGUAGAUUUUUCUCUAAAGGCAUCUGCAAUCAGGUUAAUAAAAAAAGACUCUACUGAGUGCUCUUAAAUACAGGCUUCUAAUAACUUUUAAGAUCAGUGGACUAUAAAACUUUUAAAAACUCAAAUGAAAAACUGAUGGAUUCAUGAAACUUCUAAUCAAGAUUAAGCAGAACAAAAUUAUGUGAGAUUGAAUAACUGAUAAAAAUUAUGAUUUUUUUGAUAUUUGUUUGAAAUGUUGUUGGUUCUUUAUUUGAAACAUUGUUGAUUCUUAAAUGUUUUGCUUUCCAGACUAAAUACAACUUUCUGUUUUAAGUUACCCAUAGUUCACAGCAAUUUGGUGAAGUCUAGCAUUAUAAAUGAAGGUGAAAACAUUUUUUUUUCUUCCAACUUGAUCCUUCAAAAUUCAAAAACUAUUUGUGAAUUUUUAAUUUAUGAUGAUAUAGCUAUUUGCAUAAGUUCAUACAAAUCUGUUUUCUUUAUAACAAGAUGCAUCUAGAAAUGUCAAUUGUAUUACCAAGAUUUUAGUAACAUGUCAUGUUUAAAAUUGCAUAUAGGCAUUAUAGAUAAAAUCCAAAGUUUGCCUUGAGGCUCUCUAGCCUCAAAAAAGAAAAAAAGUUCAAGCCAAGAUUAAAUCACUAUUCUUGCUACACUUUUGUAAAUAAUCAGGCCAAAUCUGAUGAAACUAAAUUUAUUUUACAAGCAAAUUAUUCUUACUCCAAUUAUCUUUGGCAAAUAUAUCAGAAUGACUAUAAUAUCACCUGCCAUUGGACUGCAGCUCUGUGAAUUGUUUUUGAGUUCUUGUUAUCUACCUGUAGGCUGUACUAGAUCCUGAAUUCGAGUUCUCCUCAAUAUCUGGUUACAACCCUCCCACUAAGAAAAAGAACAAGAACUGUUGUCUUCCUGAGGCCCUAUAGGCUGAAACUGAAUGCACUUCAAGGGACAAAUCUUGUGCCUGAUGUUUGGACCGUACAGAGAGUUCACCAAACUGCCCAGUGCCAUAAUCAGAGACAUUUGCACAACAAUUUGCCAACUUCACGCUGUAGACAGCUUUUCCCAAGACAUCAGAGCAAGCCUCCAUAUUAUAAUGAGACUCCUACACUCUUACCUUUGUUGCUUGUCAGGAUUAUGCCGAAGGAAUGACACUCCAAAAAUAGUAAUGCUGGCCCAGCACUUCAAAUGAUAACUAACACUUACGGAACUGACAACAUGAAACUUAACAGUGGACUCCAGGUAGACUUAGCCUGACAGCCGCAUUCUCCAGACCUCCUUGGUUGCUCAAAUGUGGCUAAGAGGAUUUUGACACUAACUCCUCUUUGCCAAUCACUUCCCCUGACAUAGGACCAGACCAGCAACCAAGGACAGGUCUGUCCUGGCACAGCAGGACAAUCAAAACCUAACCACAGAAUAGUUGAUCUGCAAUACUUUCAGAGAAAGAUCUUCAUCAAAACGGGGAAAUGUAAAAGUUGUAAGACUCAAAAUGGAAUCACUUGUGUCAAACCCUGGCAAAUGGAGCUGGGGAGGGUAAGAACGGGGGUGAUAUGGUUUGGAUUUGUGUCCCCACUAAAUCUCAUGUUGGAUUGUAAUCCCUGGUUUUGGAGGUAGGGCCUGAUGGGAGGUGAUUGGAUCAUGGGGACAGUUUCUCAUGGUUUAACACCAUCCUUCUUGAGAUGUUGUCAUUGAGCUAGUGAGUUCUUGUGAGAUCUGGUUGUUUAAACGUGUGUAGCACCUCCCCCAACUCUCUCUUGAUCCUGCUCCAGCCGUGUAAGAUGUUCCUGCUUCCUCUGUCCCUUCCACCAUGAUUGUAAGCUUCCUGAGGCCUCCCCAGAAACAGAAGCCACUAUGCUUCCUGUACAGCCUGCAGAAAUGUGAGCCAAAGAGGUUUAAUUAAACCUCUUUUCUUUGUAAGUCACCCAGUCUCAGGUAUUCCUUUAUAGCAGUGUGAGGACAGACUAAUACAGGAGGGGCUCUCAUGCACUAUUUGCCUGAUAAUAGGAACUAUCACAAGAACUUUUUCCAAACCACAGCUUACUAGAUAAGUCACACAGCACAGCUAGCUGCUUACUCAUAAACAGUUGCCCAAUACACUGUCUCACAAACCCAGUGCAAAACUACAGGUGCCUAACUCUAAUUCCAAGAUUAGAAGUUGUAUCUAGCAGCUACUGACAUUUGCCAGUGAACACUCACCAGCUGUUGUAAAAUGCUGCCAGUGCCAUUGAACUUUCUUUUAAAAUAACUUGCAUAAGGUCAGGAGAUCGAGACUAUCCUGGCUAACACGGUGAAACCCCACCUCUACUAAACAAAAAAUUAGCCGGGCGUGGUGGCGGGUUCCUGUAGUCCCA